rnacentral:rRNA from 1 species
GAUGAACGCUAGCUACAGGCUUAACACAUGCAAGUCGAGGGGAAACGGCAUUAAGUGCUUGCACUUUUUGGACGUCGACCGGCGCACGGGUGAGUAACGCGUAUCCAACCUUCCCAUGACUAAGGGAUAACCUGCCGAAAGGCAGACUAAUACCUUAUGGUCUUCACUGACGGCAUCAGAUGUGAAGUAAAGAUUUAUCGGUUAUGGAUGGGGAUGCGUCUGAUUAGCUUGUUGGCGGGGUAACGGCCCACCAAGGCAACGAUCAGUAGGGGUUCUGAGAGGAAGGGCCCCCAAAUUGGAACUGAGACAAGGGCCAAACUCCUACGGGAGGCAGCAGUGAGGAAUAUUGGUCAAUGGGCGAGAGCCUGAACCAGCCAAGUAGCGUGCAGGAUGACGGCCCUAUGGGUUGUAAACUGCUUUUGUAUGGGGAUAAAGUCAAUCACGUGUGAUUGUUUGCAGGUACCAUACGAAUAAGGACCGGCUAAUUCCGUG